GCUUCCAGCCAUUGUCGGACUGUCAACCGUCACCAUGCCCUUCCAGCCAAUCGCAGCCGCCCGUCGCCAGCGCGGCGGUAACUGGCGCGGCGUCUGUGGGUAGUCGCGCGCGGGGCGGCGGCGGCGGCGGCCAUGGGAGAUAUCCCCGCCGUGGGCCUCAGCUGCUGGAAGGCUUCUCCGGGGAAAGUGACUGAGGCAGUGAAAGUAGCCGUUGACGCAGGGUACCGGCACUUCAACUGUGCUUACUUUUACCACAACGAGAAGGAGGUUGGAGCAGGGAUCCGUUACAAGAUCAAGGAAGGAGCCGUAAGACGGGAGGAUCUGUUCAUUGCCAGUAAGCUAUGGUGCACCUGCCACAAGAAGUCCUUAGUGAAAACAGCGUGCAGAAGGAGUCUAAAGGCCUUGAAGCUGAACUAUUUGGACCUCUACCUCAUACACUGGCCCAUGGGUUUCAAGCCUCCUCAUCCAGAAUGGAUCAUGAGCUGCAGUGAACUUUCCUUCUGCCUCUCACGUCCUGGAGUGCACGACUUGCCUCUGGACGAGAGUGACAUGGUCAUCCCUGGUGACACAGACUUCCUGGACACGUGGGAGGCCAUGGAGGACCUGGUGAUCACCGGGCUGGUGAAGAACAUCGGGGUGUCAAACUUCAACCAUGAGCAACUUGAGAGGCUUUUGAAUAAGCCUGGGUUGAGAUUCAAGCCAGUAACCAACCAGAUUGAGUGCCACCCAUAUCUUACUCAGAAGAAUCUGAUCAGUUUUUGCCAAUCCAGAGAUGUGUCCGUGACUGCUUACCGUCCUCUUGGUGGCUCAUGUGAAGGGGUUGACCUGAUAGACGACCCUGUGAUCCAGAGGAUUGCAAAGGAGCACAGCAAGUCUCCUGCUCAGAUCUUGAUCCGAUUUCAAAUCCAGAGGAAUGUGAUAGUGAUCCCUGGAUCUAUCACCCCAAGUCACAUUAAAGAGAAUAUCCAGGUGUUUGAUUUUGAGUUAACACAGCACGAUAUGGAUAACAUCCUCAGCCUAGACAGGAAUCUCCGACUGGCCACAUUCCCCAUGUAAAUAUGACUCCUUCUUUUAAAAGUAGAGGGAAGAAUAUACAGAUUGGAUGACUGGUGUCUGAAUAGAACUAAAAAUCACAAAGACUAUCCUUUCCACAUAGAAUACUGAGGACAGCUUCCCGUUCCUUGUUUCUGCUCAGCCCAGAUGCACCAACACCAUUGGUGAUGUUGACCCUCCUCUGUCAUCACAGCGCCAGGGCAGCUGUGCCUGGGAUGGGAGCCACACAGUCGGGGGGUGCAAGAGCCGCCUUCUCUGGCAAAUCUGGAGAAUUGAGUAUGUUCUAAGUGAAGGCAGUGGGGUUUCUCCAAGACAGCCUGUGUGGCCUCUACUCUGAAAAAAGACACUGAUGAUUGAUCAAUGAAAUUUGCCUUCACAUUUUAAGAAAACUUUAUCUUAUGGAAUUAUUUAAGCCAUCUGCAGAGCUGAGGACACAGUGUCAUGUGUCUCUGCCCCAUUGCCCAGCUCCACCAAUUGUGCCCCAGGCCAGCCUGCGUCACCUUCAAUUCCUUCUCGGCCCUGCCAAUGACCCCCAGGUUAUUCUAAAGCAGAGUCCUUCCCUUUUCCCACUGGGAAGUGCAAUGGGAUAAGUCUGGGACACUGUCAGAGUUCAAUAAAGAGACUUUUUUCUUCCUUAAAAA